UACGGAAGGCAGCAGUGGGGAAUAUUGCACAAUGGGCGCAAGCCUGAUGCAGCCAUGCCGCGUGUAUGAAGAAGGCCUUCGGGUUGUAAAGUACUUUCAGUCGUGAGGAAGGUGUUAAGGUUAAUAACCUUAGCAAUUGACGUUAGCGACAGAAGAAGCACCGGCUAACUCCGUGCCAGCAGCCGCGGUAAUACGGAGGGUGCGAGCGUUAAUCGGAAUUACUGGGCGUAAAGGGCACGCAGGCGGUUAAUUAAGUUGGAUGUGAAAUCCCCGGGCUUAACCUGGGAAUGGCAUUCAAGACUGGUUAGCUAGAGUCUUGUAGAGGGGGUAGAAUUCCAUGUGUAGCGGUGAAAUGCGUAGAGAUGUUUGGAGGAAUACCGGUGGCGAAGGCGGCCCCUGGACAAAGGACUGACGCUCAUGUGCGAAAGCGUGGGGAGCAAACAGGGAUUAGAUACC
rnacentral:rRNA from 1 species